rnacentral:rRNA from 1 species
ACUCCUACGGGAGGCAGCAGUGAGGAAUAUUGGUCAAUGGCCGUAAGGCUGAACCAGCCAAGUAGCGUGCAGGAUGACGGCCCUAUGGGUUGUAAACUGCUUUUAAACGGGGAUAAAGUGAGCCACGUGUGGUUUAUUGCAGGUACCGUUUGAAUAAGGACCGGCUAAUUCCGUGCCAGCAGCCGCGGUAAU